GCUUAGCCUUAAACCCAGAUGUGCCCUUACACACGCAUCCGCCCGGGUACUACGAGCACAGCUUAAAACCCAAAGGACUUGGCGGUGUCUCAGACCCACCUAGAGGAGCCUGUUCUAGAACCGAUAAUCCUCGUUAAACCUCACCACUUCUUGUUUUACCCGCCUAUAUACCGCCGUCGUCAGCUUACCCUGUGAAGGCCAAACAGUAAGCAAAAGGGGCCAACCCAAAAACGUCAGGUCGAGGUGUAGCGUACGAAGUGGGAAGAAAUGGGCUACAUUUUCUAAUAAUAGAAUAAUACGAAUAGCACCCUGAAACAAGUGCCUAAAGGUGGAUUUAGCAGUAAAAAGUAAACAGAGAGUCCUUUUGAAUCAGGCUCUGAGACGCGC
rnacentral:rRNA from 1 species